rnacentral:tRNA from 11 species
GCCCCGAUAGCUUAGUGGUAAAGUAGAGGUUUGAAAAACCUUUUACGGUUGUUCGAUUCAUCCUCGGAGCA